GACGAACGCUGGCGGCGUGCUUAACACAUGCAAGUCGAACGGAAAGGCCCUGCUUUUGUGGGGUGCUCGAGUGGCGAACGGGUGAGUAACACGUGAGUAACCUGCCCUUGACUUUGGGAUAACUUCAGGAAACUGGGGCUAAUACCGGAUAGGAGCUCCUGCUGCAUGGUGGGGGUUGGAAAGUUUCGGCGGUUGGGGAUGGACUCGCGGCUUAUCAGCUUGUUGGUGGGGUAGUGGCUUACCAAGGCUUUGACGGGUAGCCGGCCUGAGAGGGGGACCGGCCACAUUGGGACUAAGAUACGGCCCAGACUCCUACGGGAGGCAGCAGUGGGGAAUAUUGCACAAUGGGCGGAAGCCUGAUGCAGCAACGCCGCGUGCGGGAUGACGGCCUUCGGGUUGUAAACCGCUUUCGCCUGUGACGAAGCGUGAGUGACGGUAAUGGGUAAAGAAGCACCGGCUAACUACGUG
rnacentral:rRNA from 1 species